rnacentral:rRNA from 1 species
GACGAACGCUGGCGGCGUGCUUAACACAUGCAAGUCGAACGGAAAGGCCCUUCGGGGUACUCGAGUGGCGAACGGGUGAGUAACACGUGGGUGAUCUGCCCUGCACUUUGGGAUAAGCCUGGGAAACUGGGUCUAAUACCGAAUAGGACCACGCGCUUCAUGGUGUGUGGUGGAAAGCUUUUGCGGUAUGGGAUGGGCCCGCGGCCUAUCAGCUUGUUGGUGGGGUAAUGGCCUACCAAGGCGACGACGGGUAGCCGGCCUGAGAGGGUGACCGGCCACACUGGGACUGAGAUACGGCCCAGACUCCUACGGGAGGCAGCAGUGGGGAAUGUUGCACAAUGGGCGCAAGCCUGAUGCAGCGACGCCGCGUGAGGGAUGACGGCCUUCGGGUUGUAAACCUCUUUCAAUAGGGACGAAGCGCAAGUGACGGUACCUAUAGAAGAAGCACCGGCCAACUACGUG